ACACAGAAGGAUUCUCAGAAACAUGUUUGUGAUGUGUGUACUCAGCUAACAGAGUGGAACCUUUCUUUUUACAGAGCAGCUUUGAUACACUAUUUUUGUAGAAUCUGCAAGUUGAUAUUUGGAUAUUCCCGUUUCCAAUGAAAUCCUUAAAGCUAUCCCAAUAUCCACCUGCAGAUUCUACAAAAAGAGUGUUUCAAAACUGCUCUGUAAAAAGAAUUGUUCAACUCUGUUAGUUGAGGACAUACAUCACAAUCCAGUUUGUGAGAAUG
rnacentral:lncRNA from 1 species